rnacentral:sRNA from 1 species
UGAUGUCUACUAUUGGUAUGACCUCGGG